rnacentral:lncRNA from 1 species
AGAGAGAGACAGAGAGAGAGAGAGACAGAGAGAGAGAGACAGAGAGAGAGAGACAAAGAGAAAGAAAGAGACAAAGAGAAAGAGAGAGAGAGGCAGAAAGACAGAGACAGGGAGACGGAGAGAGACAGGGAGACAGAGGGGGCACUGAUGUUGGGAGGGACUUUGUAAAGGGUGCAUGUGUUGCAUUGGAAAAUAUGCAACUCACAGUGACAAUGGAAAUGUGCUGCUUUUGGUGGCAGCAGUGGCAGAUGAUGACACCUUAAUCAGCUGGUGUUCAGUCUCUGAAGGGUAGGCUGACAGAGUAGCCGAUUUAAAGCAUCAGCUAUAUGAGUAUAAGGCCACCCUAAGAUCCUCAUUUGAGACUGAUCACCUCUAUAAAGCUCCUACUUCCAAGCAGGGUCACAUUUUGAGAUACCACGUGUUAGGACUUCACUCAUUAGUGUUUUAGAGAACACAUUUCAACCCAUAAGAGUCUUUGUCAAAUUUCUCUCUUGAGAGAACAAGAAAGGGCUUCUCAUCCAUCUCAGGCAUUACCUCUGUGUUAGGUUCCAAUAUUUUGUUUUUUGUUUUUCUGUUUUUUUUUUCCCUCAAGAGCUCCUCUUGGUUCUUUGAUGUUAAUACAAUCUCAGGCCACUAAACUUCACUGUUUCUUCAUGUGAACACUUCACAGUAAACAUCUGUAUAAGCAGGAAAUGGGCACUUCAAUCCCAUGUUUUGAUAUUUGUAUGAAAUGUUCACAUUUAAGCCCAUCAACAUAUCUAUUACCACCUACAUUAUGAAGAUUUAAGGUCUAUCCUCUUUACAAAUUGUAAGUAUAUUAUACAGUAUUGCUAACUCUAGUGACCAUGUUGCACAUUAGAUCUCCAGAAAUUAAUUAUUUUGGUUAUCUUAAUGGUUAUACUCUUUGAACUACAUCAUCUCUUCUCCCAUAUCCUCUAACCAUCAUUAGACUCUCUGUUUCUAGAAUUGACAUAAGUGUGAGGUCAUAAAUAUCCUAAGUUUGUCUUCUUUCACUGUCCAUAAUCUCCUGUAGGCCAUUUCCUGUUGCCAUAAAUGGCAGAAUUUCCUUUUUUUUUUUUUUUAAGGUCAAAUAACCUAUACACCUGCGUUUUAUUUUUCUUUAUUCACUCAUUGAUGGUCAUGUACUUUCUGUAUUUUGGCUGCUGUAAUUAAUAGUGUACUGGAUGUAAGAAUGUAGGUAUUUUUUUCAGUCCCUAUUUCAAUUCCUUUGGGCAUAUAUCCAGAAGUAGGAUUGAUGGCACAUAUGGCAGUGCUAUUUAUACCUUCUUGAGGAACUUCUAUCCUGGUUUUUAUAGUGGCUGUGCCAAUUCACAUUCUCACAAAGAGUACAAAAACGAUUCUCUCUUUCCCACAUUUUUGACAAGCUUGUUAUCUCUUGAUUCUUUGAUAAUAACCACCCUAACAUGUGUGAGGAAACAUCUUAUUGUUUUGAUGUGCAUUUCCCUGAUAUUUAGAGAUAUUGAGUACAUUCUAAUAUGUCCUGUUGUGUAUCACUGUGAAAAACAAGUCUUUUCAGGUCCUUUGUCCAUUUAUUUUUGGAGAAGAUCUCCAAUGAUUUUAAGUAUGGUUAGUGUACUGGCUAGUUUUGUGUCAACUUGACACAAGCUGGAGUUAUCACAGAAAAAGGAGCUUCAGUUGGGGAAAUGCCUCCAUGAGAUCCAACUGGAAGGCAUUUUCUCAAUUAUGAUCAAGGUGCAAAGGCCCCUUGUGGGUGGUGCCAUCUCUGGGCUGGUAGUCUUGGGUUCUAUAAGAGAGCAGGCUGAGCAAGCCAGGGGAAGCAAGAGAGUAAAGAACAUCCCUCCAUGGCCUCUGCAUCAGCUCCUGUGCCCUGACCUGCUUGAGUUCCAGUCCUGACUUCCUUGGUGAUGAACAGCAGUAUGGAAGUGUAAGACGAAUAAACCCUUUCCUCUCCAACUUGCUUCUUGGUUAUGAUGUUUUGUCCAGGAAUAGAAACCCUGACUAAGACAGUUAAUGACAGGAAUAUGGGUGAGGGGUUAUUUACAGAAACACAGUCACUUUACCAUGGCUAUACUUUUGAAAAGCAAACAAACAAAACCCCAAAACAAAAUUCUUUCCCUUAGCAACUGUUAAUGGCCUGUAGGUUCUCAGUGAGGGGUAGGCCUGGCUUCUUAAGUCCCUCCAUGUUAGAACUGUUAACUUUGCAUAAAUUGUCCAGGAGGGGUAGGGUCUUGUGAACACCUCUUCUCUCCAUGAAAAGAUGUUGAUGGAACAAACUUCUGUAGGUCUUGGGCAAGCAAUCACAGCUGCUGAGAGUUCAAGAGUGUAGCAGUAUCCAGCACAGAAGACGGUACUUAAGACUUCACCUUUUCUUCCAGCUCUUAAAUCUUCCUGUUCCCAUUUCAUCUACAUUCUUUGAGCCUUGGAGGGAGUGAUACACGUCCCAUUUGGGCUAGGUAUUAAACGGUCACCUAUUCUCAGUUCUUUGACUAACUAUGAGUUUCUGCAGUAACUGUUACCUACUCUCUGCCCUGUAUCAUAACUGAAGGUAGCUUUUAGUUUGGAUAUCAAUCUCUUAUGCAUAUAUUUUAUGAAUAAUUACCAUUUCAUUUUGGUGCAUUUCUUGAACAAACAUGUUUUUAGUUUAAUAUAGUCUUGGUUAUUUAAUUUUGCUUUAGUAGUCUCUACUUUUGAUGUGUUAUUCCCAAAUGAUUUCUAAAAAUAAUUUCAACUAGUUUCUUCCUAGGAAUUUUACAGUUUAAAUCUUAAAUAUUUAAUAUAGUUUAUAUUAUUUUGUGUAUUAUGUAAAAUAAGGUUCCAAUUUCUAUCUUUUGUGUGUGUGUUUAAUUUUAUAACAUUAUUUAUUGAGAGAUUAUUCUUGUUCCAUUAUGAAUUGUUCGCAUCUUUGUUGAAGGUUAGUUUACUAUAUUUGUACUUAUAUGUGUGUUUAUUUCUUAGAUUUUUAUUUUGGUGCAUUGUCUUUACAUCUAUUAUUAUGUUAGUUCUACACUGUUUAGCUCACUCUAUUUUUCAGGAUCUUCAUGUCCAUGUGGAAAUUAUAUAAUGUUUCUUAUAUAGAAGCUACAGGUACAUAUCACACCUUGGUAGAGUUUUCCUUCUGUACAUUUUUAUAUGAACAAUUCCAGACCCAAAUUACCUUCAUACACGACUCACACAGUAGUAUUUAUAACCUUCUAAUUCAGGGCCAUGAAUAGAGCUUACUCAAUCUCUUCACUUGAAUUUUAUACAUCCCAUCCUACAUCCUGUGGCCCAUUGUGAGUAUCCAGUCAUGAACGAUAGACUUCCACAUAGAAACACAUGAUGGGUAGUGGAUAGUACAACUUUCUUCCAAUAAAGAGAACUCUUCUGACAUAUGGGGAAUUUCAGAAGAGAAAGUGCUGGUCUACCCCAUAGACUUGGCAUAUGCAUCUUCACAUAGAGACCUUAGAUAUAUCUGUUUAGAAAAUAUAGGGGAAGUCUUGUAGCAGAGCUUGUAUGAAUGUAGCAAAAUUCCUAGAAAUCAUUCUGGAACAAGAGAGGAUAUAAAACCAUGGCCUACUAAUUUUCCUAUUUUACAUGAAAGGUCAUCACAGUAAUUUUUCUUUCCCUCUGUGAUGCGCAACUUUCUUUUAAGUUUUAACUCUAUAACACUUUUUAUUAUUUGAGAAGUUUAUAGAGUUAAAUAGUAUAUUUUGGUCAUAUUUGCACCUUUUCCCCUUCAGUUCUUCUUGCUUACCUCCCACAUUGUCCUCACAGCCUCCCUUUUUUAGUAGCCCACUAAGUCUAAUUAGUUCCUCCUAUGUGCAUACCUGUGGGACUGUCCACUGAAACAUGACCAACCUAACAUCAGUCACACACCUAAAGAAAUCUGACUCCUUCUCUCCUAGCAACCACCACCUAUCAACUCAGCUAUUGAUGUGGGGGAGGGGUGGCAGACUCAUAUGCCUUUCCAUCUUCCUUGUUGGGAUGUUGACUUGAUCUUGUAAAAAUCUUGUACUGGCAACUUUUGCAGACUACUGUGAGUUUAUAACUGCAACAGCCUUGUGAUAUUCAGAGGGAAGAACUUGCUACUUAUAUUUUGUUAAAUUGGCAUAGUAUCAAAUUGCCUUCUAAAUGCUUAUCUUUGUGACCAUAAAUGAGGGACUUGCUCAGUGCUAAUCAGAAAAGCUCUUUAUUUAUUUAUUUUUUUUUUAGCUCGGCCGUGAUGGCACACACCUUUGAUCCAAGGACCUGGGAGUCAGAUGCAGGUGAAUCUCUAAGUUCAAGGCCAGCCUGAUCUACAAAGUACCAUCAUGAAGAUGUGCUAGGAGACAGGAAUGGGAGAUACUCUCCUGUUUUUAAAGGUAAGGCCUAAAGGUUGCAUGCAUAGGUUUUCUUUGAAUUUUAUUGGCGGUAACCUUAUCAUAUGACCAUUCAAACAGCAAACAAGGCUUAGAUAUUCAGUUCUUAAGUGGGCAGCCAUAAUCAGCAUAAAAACUGUAUUACAUAAAUGAAGUGGACAGUGGAUAGAGGUUUUCUGCAGUUUUACUGUGGGUCAUUUGGUAUUUUGUCCACACAUCUGUUAGACUUGGAAAGUUGUUUGUUUCAAAAUUCUUGCUAUUUAUUAAUUUUUCAAAAAAUGCUCAAUAUCUGCCACAAAUGUUUUCAUAUUUUAUCUAUAAAUUGU